GACGAACGCUGGCGGCGUGCUUAACACAUGCGAGUCGAACGAUGACGACCGAGCUUGCUCGGUCUGAUUAGUGGCGAACGGGUGAGUAACACGUGAGCAACCUGCCCUUCACUCUGGGAUAACCUCGGGAAAUCGGGGCUAAUACCGGAUAUGAGCUCCUGUCGCAUGGCGGGUGUUGGAAAGUUUUUCGGUGAAGGAUGGGCUCGCGGCCUAUCAGUUUGUUGGUGAGGUAGUGGCUCACCAAGGCGAUGACGGGUAGCCGGCCUGAGAGGGCGACCGGCCACACUGGGACUGAGGCACGGCCCAGACUCCUACGGGAGGCAGCAGUGGGGAAUAUUGCACAAUGGGCGAAAGCCUGAUGCAGCGACGCCGCGUGAGGGAUGACGGCCUUCGGGUUGUAAACCUCUUUCAGCAGGGAAGAAGCGAAAGUGACGGUACCUGCAGAAGAAGCGCCGGCUAACUACGUG
rnacentral:rRNA from 1 species